rnacentral:pre_miRNA from 1 species
CAAAUACUCCCUCCGUUCCGAAAUACUUGUCAGAGAAAUGAAUAAAAUUGGAUGUAUCUAUAAUUAAAAUACGUCUAGAUUCAUCCAUUUUUCCAACAAGUAUUUCCGGACGGAGGGAGUACUAG